UCAUCCUCACAAGCUGGUGCCUUUGAGAGCAAAACAGCCUUAGACUGGAAUUAUAAAAAUCCAUGAGGAAUAUAUGAUGGACCAAACUAAAACUGAUAACCUUUGUCUGGGAAACAGUCGCAAUGUGGAAGGUGGCUCUACUUCUGUGAUUGUUGCGGGGAAAACAGACGAAGGAGACAGACAUCAAAAGAGCCUUGGAGAACAGCACUGCUCCUAGUGCUUAUGGCGUUCCUUUGUGAUUCUUAAUACAACUGUCUAAAGCAAAAACAUAGAUGAUCACUGAAUAUUUUGGAAUAUAUUCAGGGAGUGCGAGUUCCCAAAAUCUGA